CCCUUAGAUGUCCUGGGCUGCACGCGCGCUACACUGAUGUGUCCAGUAAGCACCUAACCUCUUCCGAAAGGAACGGGUAACCUUUGCAAAGCACAUCGUGAUGGGGAUAGAUUAUUGCAAUUAUUAGUCUUGAACGAGGAAUUCCUAGUAAGCACAAGUCAUCAGCUCGUGUUGAUUACGUCCCUGCCCUUUGUACACACCGCCCGUCGCUCCUACCGAUUGAAUGUUCCGGUGAGCUCUUCGGACUGCGCGGUCUGCAGUUUCUGCGUUCCGUGCGGAAAGUUGCGCAAACCUUAACAUUUAGAGGAAGGAGAAGUCGUAACA
rnacentral:rRNA from 1 species